AAAGAUUUCAAAAACUGGACGAAAAUAUGAACUGAGUCGGGCGGGUGAUUUUUAGUUGCACUUUUAGAACACACACUCACACAUCGCGGGACGAACUGAACACGUUGCGAACUCGAAAGAAUCACAGGGAGCGCGGUGCGGCUGACGACGCGGCUGACACCAUACUGAUCUCAACGGAGACGGAUCGCCGAGUCGUGCUUCUGUGCCCCUUCCACCGGGCCGGAGCGGGAUUUUUUUCUCUCCACUGAAAGCGCGAGUGAGUUCGACUGACUGACUGACCGAGCGUCGCGGCGCGGCGCGGCGUCGCGAAUAAAUGCCAAGGUCACGCCGGGCCGGCAGCUUGGAGUCUGGGGGGUGUUCACACGUUGCCCGGCCGCGGUCCCAGCCGGCCACUCCGACGCAUCCAGUCUCUCCUUCUUCUUCUUUUUUAUUAUUUCCGAUCCCGAGUUCCUUCCGCUGUGCGCGGCGUGCGCGGCGGGACGCGACGCGCGCCGGCUCGGCAUUGAAGUCCACAUAUCGGGGCCCGCGCCGACCUUCCCGCGAAGGUGGACCACCACAAUACAUUACUAAGAUUACUCCUCGCGCCGCGCCGCGCCGCGCGCAACAUUUGCCUUUAUUCUUUCCUUCCGCUUCCGCGAGCGACCACUCAAGAUGGGCCUAUUUGUGUCUGGGAUGUUUUUACGGUCGAGUGGAGCCCUGCAACCGAGUCCUGCGUACGCCAAUGCAAUGUAGAGCGGCGGAGUAGCCCGCAUCCGGCACGAGCCAUGAUCUAGAACUUAGAAACUCGAAGGACGCUGCGACACUGACAUUCAGCGAUUCGUUCGAGGGCCCGAGCUCUACGCUGGAUCAAUUAUCUCCGUAAUUUGAUAUUUGCGGUGAAAUUCACCUCUGCAAUGCUAGUGCACACGCCCGCAUCUAAUGAAAAGUGCUCUGUGAUUUGACUCGACUCCAAAAUGAAUCUUACUGCACUGAACAGAUUCAACCUAAAUGCAUCAGACGUUGCCUGAUUUUGGACUAGAAGUUACAAUAAAGAUCUAUCCGCUUUUCAGUCAGUGGCGUAGACAGGAGGGGGGCUGCCCAUGAGCCUCGUUAAUUUACCUUUUUUACUUUCUCGCUCUCCUGGGGUAGAGGAAGUAUUUCUUUACUUUUGGACGGCCGGCAGACAUAAAAUAUUAUCAGGAACGUACACAAAAUAAUGUAAAUUUACCGUCAUGUUCUUGAAUGGACCCCCCCCCCUAAAGAAUUCCUAGCUACGCCUCUGUUUUUACUUAAUCUAUAGAAGCACCUACCUUCAUGAGGAAUAUCAAAAUUUGAGGGGCAGGAUAAGAGCAGGAGAGCAGGAUAAGGAAUAAGACAGAAGAAGAGGAAGAGAAAAGAAAACGAGGAGGAAACCUAGAAUGAAGAAGAGUAAAGAGAAGAAGAAGGAACGAAGGAAGAGGCGAAAUGCGAGGAAAACAGAAAGGAAAAAAGAAAAGCAAGAAGAGGAGAAAGAGAAAUACAGAAAAAGAGUGAAAAUAAGGAGCGUAAGAAGAAGUAAGAGGAAUGAAGAGGAAGAAAAAUAUGUAAGCUAGGAAGAAUAAGAAUAGGAGGAAGAAGAAAUGUAAAAAGGAAAAAAAGUGCGGGAUAAGAGGGUGGUAAAGAUGAGGAUGAACAAGAAAGGAGAAUACCACCCGUGUUCAUAUGAAUAUUAAGCGCAUAUACGUUGUUUUUAAAAUGAAUUCGAGCUUUUAGUUCCUCAUUACAAAAUGAAGUCCAAUUUCUUCUCCCGUUUUUUAUACCCUCGUGAGAUAUCAUGAGAAAACGGAUUAGUGCUCUAUAAUAAUACGUCUAAAGCGGUAAGUCAAUUGGCAUCACCUACCUUUUGAAAAGAUAUUAGUCUUGUAUACAUGGGUGUCUGGUCCUAAGAGAGUAGUUCCGGUACCUAUCCCAAACGUAGGUGAUGAAAUCUUAGAACCCAGUCCUAGCGUCGUUUCUUCCGUGUGAUCCAUAACAUCACAACCACAUCCAGGUCAUAGGACCUAUGAAAAAUUUACAGAAAG
rnacentral:lncRNA from 1 species